rnacentral:lncRNA from 1 species
UGCAGUACCCAGCCCAAGCCAUAAAGGUGCUCUUGGCAGGGUUUAAACCUCCCUUGAGUGACUCAGGAAAAACAAGAAUACCCUACUGUCCCAGGUGGAGCAUGGAGGCGUUGUGGACUAUGAUAGACUGUCUCCAAGGGAAACAACUUUAUGCUUCCUCUGUGGCUCAGGCACCAGAACAGAUAGUGACAUUAUAUGAAGAUGAACAAUACCCAGUUCACAUGUCCUUGGUAGAAAUGGGGCUUGCAGAUAAAGAUGAAUGAUGUGUACAAGAGCUCCUGCAGCUGUCCAGAAAAAGUUUUGUUAGAUUUGUACCAUUUCAGGUUUGAUUUUAUCUUGUUCUGCAGUGCUGUCUUUUUUUUCCUCCUUUAGUCUUACUUGGUAAAUUGUUAAGGAAUUGUGUGAAAAGUUAAUGUUUUCUUUGAAACAUUUUUGUUUUGUUUUUAUUUUUAUUGUAAUUUCAAAAUAAAAAUUAGCCAUAUAG